rnacentral:rRNA from 1 species
UACGGAGGGUGCUAGCGUUGUUCGGAAUUAUUGGGCGUAAAGAGCGUGUAGGCGGCCGAGUAAGUCAGAUGUGAAAUCCCUUGGCUUAACCAAGGAAGUGCAUUUGAAACUGCCUGGCUUGAGUACGGGAGGGGGAAGCGGAAUUCCCGGUGUAGAGGUGAAAUUCGUAGAUAUCGGGAGGAACACCGGUGGCGAAGGCGGCUUCCUGGACCGAUACUGACGCUGAGACGCGAAAGCGUGGGGAGCAAACAGG